GACGAGGGAUCCUAGCGUUGUUCGGAAUCAUUGGGCGUAAAGCGUGUGUAGGCUGCCAUUCAAGUCAGUUGUGAAAGCCCCGGGCUCAACCCGGGAAGUGCUUCUGAUACUGUUUGGCUUGAGUACUAGAGAGGAUAGUAGAAUUCCAGGUGUAGUGGUGAAAUACGUAGAUAUCUGGAGGAAUACCGGUGGCGAAGGCGGCUAUCUGGCUAUGUACUGACGCUGAGACACGAAAGCGUGGGGAGCAAACAGG
rnacentral:rRNA from 1 species